UAGAGACAUACCUAGAGUGGUCACGGAGACAUAUGGGCAUCAUCAGGCUCGGCGCCACUGGAGCCACCUAGACUCUUUCUGCCUCUGCCAGUGAAGGGGAACAGCCAUGUAGCCACAAAGUUAUAACCAUAACUUUGUCCUUCUGCUGUUCUUGAUGGGACUAAGAAGUUAUAUGGAAACUGUGAUUCAUUCAUUCAUUCAACAAACAUUUGAAGGCCUAACGUGGGCCAUAUACUGAGUCCUAGAGACAGACAUAAGCCCUAUGACUGACUGGAUUAGGCUUCGAAAUAAAUGUAAUAUGAUGUGUUAAA